AUUGAACGCUGGCGGCAGGCCUAACACAUGCAAGUCGAACGAGUGGCGGACGGGUGAGUAAUGUCUGGGAAACUGCCUGAUGGAGGGGGAUAACUACUGGAAACGGUCGCUAAUACCGCAUACCAUCAGAUGUGCCCAGAUGGGAUUAGCUAGUUGGUGGGGUAACGGCUCACCAAGGCGACGAUCCCUAGCGGGUCUGAGAGGAUGCCGACCCACACUGGACCGGAGACACGGCCCAGACUCCUACGGGAGGCAGAAGUGGGGAAUAUUGCACAAUGGGCGAAAGCCUGAGGCAGCCAUGCCGGGUGGAUGAAGAAGGCCUUCGGGUGGUAAAGUACUUUCAGCGGGGAGGCGUUACCCGCAGAAGAAGCACCGGCUAACUCCGUGCCAGCAGCCGCGGUAAUUC
rnacentral:rRNA from 1 species